rnacentral:rRNA from 1 species
GAUGAACGCUGGCGGCGUGCCUAAUACAUGCCAGUCGAGCGAACGGACGAGAAGCUUGCUUCUCUGAUGUUAGCGGCGGACGGGUGAGUAACACGUGGAUAACCUACCUAUAAGACUGGGAUAACUUCGGGAAACCGGAGCCAAUACCGGAUAAUAUUUUGAACCGCAUGGUUCAAAAGUGAAAGACGGUCUUGCUGUCACUUAUAGAUGGAUCCGCGCUGCAUUAGCUAGUUGGUAAGGUAACGGCUUACCAAGGCAACGAUGCAUAGCCGACCUGAGAGGGUGAUCGGCCACACUGGAACUGAGACACGGCCCAGACUCCUACGGGAGGCAGCAGUAGGGAAUCUUCCGCAAUGGGCGAAAGCCUGACGGAGCAACGCCGCGUGAGUGAUGAAGGUCUUCGGAUCGUAAAACUCUGUUAUUAGGGAAGAACAUAUGUGUAAGUAACUGUGCACAUCUUGACGGUACCUAAUCAGAAAGCCACGGCUAACUACGUG